CCUACGGGAGGCAGCAGUGGGGGAUAUUGCACAAUGGGGGGAACCCUGAUGCAGCGAAGCCGCGUGAGCGAAGAAGUACCUCGGUAUGUAAAGCUCUAUCAGCAGGGAAGAAAAUGACGGUACCUGACUAAGCAGCCCCGGCUAAAUACGUGCCAGCAGCCGCGGUAAUACGUAGGGGGCAAGCGUUAUCCGGAUUUACUGGGUGUAAAGGGAGCGCAGGCGGCUUGCCAAGUCAGGUGUGAAAACCCGGGGCCCAACCCCGGGCCUGCAGUGGAAACUGGCGGGCUGGAGUGUAGGAGGGGCAGGCGGAAUUCCUGGUGUAGCGGUGAAAUGCGUAGAUAUUAGGAGGAACACCGGUGGCGAAGGCGGCCUGCUGGACGAUGACUGACGCUGAUGCUCGAAAGCGUGGGUAGCAAACAGGAUUAGAUACCCCAGUAGUC
rnacentral:rRNA from 1 species